rnacentral:misc_RNA from 1 species
GCAAACUUGGUCAUUUAGAGGAAGUAAAAGUCGUAACAAGGUUUCCGUAGGUGAACCUGCGGAAGGAUCAUUAAUGAGAGACGGGUCUUCCGGCCCAACCUCCCAAACCCUCUGUUUACACAUCCACAGUUGCUUUGGUGCUGGGGUCCGCCGGCCUGCCGGAGCUCGGACCCUGCCGCCAGAGACCUUUUGAAAUAACCUUUGACAAAAGUAUUUCUGAUCUAAGAUUAAAUUUCUAAAAACUUUCAACAACGGAUCUCUUGGUUUUGGCAUCGAUGAAGAACGCAGC